rnacentral:rRNA from 1 species
UACAGAGGUCUCGAGCGUUAGGCGGAAUCACUGGGCUUAAAGCGUGUGUAGGUGGAUGCCUAAGUACCUUGUGAAAUCCCACAGCUUAACUGUGGAACUGCUUGGUAUACUGGGUGUCUUGAGUCACUCAGGGGCGAGCGGAACAAAUGGUGGAGCGGUGAAAUGCGUAGAUAUCAUUUGGAACGCCAAUGGUGAAAACAGCUCGCUGGGGGUGCACUGACACUGAGACACGAAAGCCAGGGGAGCGAACGGGG